rnacentral:lncRNA from 1 species
UGGGUAGUAAUGGGGUGCACAGGUACUGUUUUAGGUUACUAUAAGAGGAAGUGAGGUAUUGAAAUUGGGCAUUUGAGGUCUAUAGCACAGUAGGACAGUUUGGAUGACUUAGAUAGAUCAUUUGUAACUUGUUGAGAACACUUUGUUGGUAGGAUAGAGGAAUCUUAAAAAUCGGAGUUGGUACAUCCCUGAUCAUAGAACAACCCUAGCCUGGUCCAGCAAGUUGCGACUAGUCAUAUGUACCGGCGCUUAUGGUGAGUUUGAUCCGUC